rnacentral:lncRNA from 1 species
CAGCCUGCCUUUGGGAUGGCCAGUAUUAACAGCCUGUGCCCUUAAGUAUCCAGUGACAUAGGAUAAGUUCCACUGGUAAAGUUCACAAGAGGUAGAUUAUGUUCUCUAGGGAUGAGAAGUGAAAGUCAAGCAUGUUUCCCUGGAAGCAGAGAGCUCCCCAGUGGACAUUUCCAUUCCUACAGGCAGCCCCCCAUCCAGUUCCAUUCUGUUCCAGAACAGCUCCAGGCCUAGAAAGGCAAGUGAACCUUCAGAUCAUGCUGGGCUCAUGGAACAGCCCAGAAGCCCUCCAUCAGCCUGCAGUCCGGAGUUCAGGGAACGUCUUAGGCCAAGCCACUCUCAAGAAGCGGAGGUAAAAAGACUCACGGCUCAGUUCAUUCACCAUCAGCCCACAGCAUGGAAGGAAAAUGCCACUCCCCCUUUCAAACCACCCUUUUGCAACUAUAGGCAUUCUCAAAUCCUUCUUCAUUAUCACAGUAAAUUCAUGUUAAUGCAGACAUUAUUCUUAAAGGAUAACAAGGAGUCCACAGUGUAAUUUACCCUAAGCUCAGCAUUGCUUCAGGGCUGGUCUUGGGACAGGUGCCUCCCCAGGCCAGUCCUGUGUGACAUUACAUGAUUAGGACAAAAUUAGACAUGUGCAAGGAAAGCACAGCCACCAAAGGGCUCUGGGGCAGGUGUCAGUGCCCCAGGCGGGGAGAGGCUGUGUAAUUAUGGAAGGAUAAUACCCACCCCAGGGACUACUUCAUUUCCCAUCCCUAAGGAACUCUUCACCAAUCAGAAAAGAGAAUUCUUUAACAACAGCUCUCCACCCCCUGGCCAGGAACCACUCAUAGCUUCUCAGAACAUGUUUCUGGGCAGGUGGGAGCAAAGCCAGAAAGGAAAACGAACCCCGGGCAGAACCAGAGACACAAGAGCUCUGUGGCCCUGACCCUGGUAGAUAAUCCACCAGGCUCUCAAGCUAGGACCAUUUCACUGCAAGCCAAGGACCUGGUUUGCUGCAUGUUGUCCUGCCUUGCAGGCUGGCAAGAAGCUGAGCCUCUGGGCUUUGCCCACUGAUAUGGAACUGGCUCUGGGAGAUCACCCCAGCGAUGACAGAUGCACAGGGUGGCCAUCUGGAAGUGCCCCUGUCCUCAGGGAUGCUUCAAACAAAGGUUAAUGUGUCAAGAGGGAUUCAUAAAGUCGGAGACCUCCAUGGGGCUUUGAGAACAUCUCUACAUCUCCAGAUGAGCCACCUAAACUGAUCUGAAAGAACUAUGCUCAUCACUUCCUACCAUGCCCCUGAUCGGCUUCUAUGAAGAAAACCUGUUGUCAAAUCUCUGCGGCCCACUCAGUGUCCUCUGAUGCUGGCUAAAGGGAGCCCUAAUCAUUUGCAUUUGCUCAAGAAUCAAAUUGCUCAAGGCCCAGAUGGACCCCCCAGGACUCUUCUCCUGUGCAUUCUCCAGCUUCUCCAUCCCAGACAGAAAGCCUGUUCCUUCCAACAGACAUCUCCGGUAAAGCCCUGAGAUUACCUCGCUCACCCACAAGCAACGUGCUCCUAUUUAUAAACUCAAGACUCAGCUUGGUACUACCCUGGAGUGCUGAUUCACGGUGUUAUGACCAAAUUGUAUUUUGCCUUUACUGUAAAUAAGUACAAAGAAAAAA